GGUGAAGAUCCCGGCGAUGGAAAAAAGGCGAAACUGCUCCGCGUAGGCUGCUCGGAGUGGCAUCGCACCUUGUUCGAGUCCGAAGAAGUUCCCGCUUCUCUAAGCCGGCUGAAGGGAUGCGAGUCUCCUCUUGUCCCAACGGGACUGUGUCCUGACACAGAGUGGACUCCGCCCCAAGAGUGCGAGCGUCCUGAGCGUUCAGGGCAUCCUGAGCCGCGGAAGGCAUCCGGCCACACCCCGCUCUUUACCCGCCAACGCCAGCCCAGGUGGCCAGGCUCAGAAUGGACUGUGAGCCUGUGUGUUAUGCAUCUCUGGUUGUAGAGACAAAAGGACAAAGAUGGAACCCACCAAGGAUGCUCCCGGCUGAAUGAAUUGUUGUUCUCUGGCUUACACAAAGUCAAGCGAAUGAUCGUCCCAUGUUAUGUAAUAUAGCAACGGCCUGCUUACCUUACUCCUUUAAUCUACGUUAUUCUGGAAAGUAACACUUGAAAUAAAAAGUAGAUACAUUCUACUGGGAAUGUGACCCUCAGAGAAGGAAAGAAAGACCGAGGGGUUGAACCUGAACACGUGAAAGAGAAUCCAAGGUAAUUGGGGAAGCAUUGUCAAGAGCUCACUAGCUAUUUAAGAAAAAAGCAUCCCAUGUAUCUUAAUAAAUUUUGUCUGAUUGAUGGCUUUUUGAUGGGCCAGAGAGGAGUGAGAGAGAGCCAGAGAGACACAGAGACAGGCAGACAGACAGCAAGGAGGAGUUUUCUUCUCUAUCAGCAGCUAUCUCUGUGUGAGGGUUUCUCCCUUCAAAUGUCAAUUCUGCCAUCCCUGUAGGGAACCUGCUUGGUACUGCCACAUCAGAGAAGCCUCGGUACGCAUCCAGGCCUAUUCUGCCCUUGGACCACAUUGUACGUUUAGUGUUUCGGAAGAGAGAAAUCAUCAAAGGCGCACCCAAAGAAACAUCCGAAUGAAAGCUCAGUGGUGUUUGCUUUUCCCAAGGACCGGCAUCAUGGUUUCAGAGUUAACACACUGGAGAAAUACCUAGCCCUCCAUGUCACUCCCUACAUCCUCAACACUCACUCAGAGAGGGGCAUUGAAGAAAGGAUCACCAGUGAGUAGUACUUCUCAAAGAGAAAGCAGAAGAGUUUAUUGCUGCUGAAAGUCUCUGAAUAAAUCCAUGCGCCAAAUCACAACCCGAAAAAGCUCCAGAAAGGUUGCACAUGGUCUAAAAAAUGGAGAGACUGGUGUCCUAUGCCCUGUCUUGUUACCCUGAGACAUGAUGUUGGGUAGAGUUGGUCUAGGUACAAUAUUAUUGAAUUUGCAGGUGCCUAAGUAUAGGGGUCUCACACUGCCAUAUACAGUCAUUAUAGUGUCGGGAGACAAGAAAAUCUUUUUUCGGUGCAGCUGAGAACAUUGGAAAAAUAAUUGCAAUGGCCUGCAGACCUUAGGGACUUUUUGGAGAAAUACAGUGUGACCUCUGAAAAUGCUUUAGAUUCUGUCAAAUAUCAAGAUGCAGAUCCAUAUCAGUGAUUACCAAAAAGGCCAGUAUUCAUUGUUCUUGAAGCUAGUCACAGAUAGACACCAAUCAAGAGUCAAAUGCUGUAUCCUCUAACCAUUUAGAGCUUGGAUGCAGCCCUGAGUAUAAAGGAAGUACUGUGGACCCCUUCACCACACAAAGGUCAUAUGUUCAAAUCUCACCCCUCCCAAAGGUGAUGAUAUUAGGGGGCUGGGACUUCCAGGAGUGAACAGAACAUAUUCCCUUAUUAAAAAGGCUCAAGGGAGCUCACUUACCCUUCUGUCAAGUGACAACAGACAGCUGCUGUGAGUAAUUAAGUGUGUUCUAGCCACAGACCCUGCCAGUGCCUUGAUCUUGAAUUUUCUAGCCUGCAGAAGUAUGAGAUGUUUCUGUUAUGUAUAAUUUACUCAAUAUAUAGUAGGUGUUCUGUUAGCUUAUUUUAAAAUGCAAUGCCUGUAUUUAUCUUGAAAAUAAAGGACUUUAGGAGUGUGUGUGUGUGUGUGUGUGUGUGUGUGUGUGUGUGUGUGUGUGUUCACAUACAUAGCAUAGACAAUAUGUAAGAACUGUGUUCAGUUAUGGAAAAAAUAAAGCCACUUUGCC
ensembl:lincRNA Dubr Dppa2 upstream binding RNA